UAGCAUAGCUCGACUGAGCGGCGGACGGGUGAGUAAUGCAUAGGAAUCUGCCCGGUAGUGGGGGAUAACCUGGGGAAACCCAGGCUAAUACCGCAUACGUCCUACGGGAGAAAGGGGGCUUUGGCUCCCGCUAUUGGAUGAGCCUAUGUCGGAUUAACUAGUUGGUGAGGUAAUGGCUCACCAAGGCAACGAUCCGUAGCUGGUCUGAGAGGAUGAUCAGCCACAUCGGGACUGAGACACGGCCCGAACUCCUACGGGAGGCAGCAGUGGGGAAUAUUGGACAAUGGGGGCAACCCUGAUCCAGCCAUGCCGCGUGUGUGAAGAAGGCCCUCGGGUUGUAAAGCACUUUCAGCGAGGAAGAACGCCUGUCGGUUAAUACCCGGCAGGAAAGACAUCACUCGCAGAAGAAGCACCGGCUAACUCCGUGCCAGCAGCCGCGGUAAUACGGAGGGUGCAAGCGUUAAUCGGAAUUACUGGGCGUAAAGCGCGCGUAGGUGGCUUGAUAAGCCGGUUGUGAAAGCCCCGGGCUCAACCUGGGAACGGCAUCCGGAACUGUCAAGCUAGAGUACAGGAGAGGAAGGUAGAAUUCCCGGUGUAGCGGUGAAA
rnacentral:rRNA from 1 species